rnacentral:rRNA from 1 species
AAACUCAAAGGAAUUGACGGGACCCGCACAAGCAGCGGAGCGUGUGGUUUAAUUCGUUGCUACACGAAGAACCUUACCUGGGUUUGACAUAUAGGUUGUAGGGAACUGAAAAGGGACCGACCCUUCGGGGAGCCUAUACAGGUGUUGCAUGGCUGUCGUCAGCUCGUGUCGUGAGAUGUUCGGUUAAGUCCGCUAACGAGCGCAACCCUCGUCGUAUGUUAUAUGUGUCAUACGAGACUGCCGGUAAAAAGCCGGAGGAAGGUGAGGAUGAUGUCAAGUCAGCAUGACCUUUAUAUCCAGGGCUACACACACGCUACAAUGGUCUGUACAAUGGGUAGCCAAGCCGCGAGGCGGAGCCAAUCCUAAAAGCAGGCCUCAGUUCAGAUUGCAGUCUGCAACCCGACUGCAUGAAGAUGGAGUUGCUAGUAACCGCAGGUCAGCUAUACUGCGGUGAAUACGUUCCCGGGUCUU